GACGAACCGUACGAACGUUAUUCGGAAUCACUGGGCUUAAAGGGUGCGUAGGCUGCGCGGAAAGUUGGGUGUGAAAUCCCUCGGCUCAACCGAGGAACUGCGCCCAAAACUACCGUGCUCGAGGGAGACAGAGGUGAGCGGAACUUAGGGUGGAGCGGUGAAAUGCGUUGAUAUCCUAAGGAACACCCGUGGCGAAAGCGGCUCACUGGGUCUCUUCUGACGCUGAGGCACGAAAGCUAGGGUAGCGAACGG
rnacentral:rRNA from 1 species